rnacentral:rRNA from 1 species
AGCGAACGCUGGCGGCAGGCCUAACACAUGCAAGUCGAACGAACUCUUCGGAGUUAGUGGCGGACGGGGGAGUAACACGUGGGAACGUGCCUUUUGGUUCGGAAUAACUCAGGGAAACUUGUGCUAAUACCGAAUGUGCCCUUCGGGGGAAAGAUUUAUCGCCAUUAGAGCGGCCCGCGUCUGAUUAGCUAGUUGGUGAGGUAACGGCUCACCAAGGCGACGAUCAGUAGCUGGUCUGAGAGGAUGACAAGCCACACUGGGAAUGAGACACGGCCCAGAAUCCGACGGGAGGCAGCAGUGGGGAAUCUUGCGCAAUGGGCGAAAGCGUGACGCAGCCAUGCCGCGGGAAUGAUGAAGGUCUUAGGAUUGUAAAAUUCUUUCACCGGGGACGAUAAUGACGGUACCCGGAGAAGAAGCCCCGGCUAACUUCGUG